UCUGCAGGACACAGUAAACACAAAGAUAGACAUUAUGGAAAACCACCACUUUCUGUUGAAUCCAGACUGGAUAACUGUGGGAUCAUCAUCAGGCUGAAGAUGUCACUCAGUGGAAACACAUUGGAACCAAGUUGAAAUCUGUUGACAAGGUCUCACAAGGAUUAUCAGCAGAAGACUUCUUGGAAAGUGAGCAAUGAUUAAAAGGAUCAGAGUUUCUUCCAAACAAGGCAGAAGAUUCUUUAACUUUUAACAGUGCGGUCUGCUGCCACAGCAAGGAAUAAUUGGAGAACAAUAAAGGGUCAACAUGCCAGUUGAAAGGAUUCUGCCAGAUUUGUUCCCGUUCACGAUGUUGGAGUGGACUACUGCGGACAAAUAAAUGGGAACAUCACCUAAGGUUUCUUCAUUGGUUCACUACGCAUAAAAAACAAUAUUUUUCCUUUUUUAUUAUUGUUGGAACAUUUUAAUUGAAUGGGUAGUCACAAUAAUACUUGUUAGUAGAUACAGUCAAUGGAAUUUAAGAGUUAAUAAUUUACUUUAAAGCCAAGAUCAUGAAUUAAAUUUAAAGUACUAUUUUUAGUCAAACAUAUUUUAAUAUCUCCGGUCGAACAGUACAAACGAUAUGAUCUGCAGGGAAUUGGAGCAGUGACUGUGGUACAUUAUUUUUCCAUUUGUACUACUACUUUAACCUCCCCUCAGGGUAUUUUUAGUGACAUUUAAACAAGAAUAUUCCAAAGGUCUUUGCUACUGUACUGGACUAUAGUGACUGAAUAAAUAUUGAGCAAUUAAAUAGGCUAGAGACUGAAGCUUUGUGCAUGCAAGUUCCAUGGAUUAUUAUUUAGUUUCAAGUGAAUCAAAAGAUAAAAAAUAGUUAUUAUUAAUAAUAACUAUUAUUAAUCACAGCACACAGCUAGGAUCGUGAAUGUGCUUUAUCGUUUCAUGUUAUGAAGAUAUCCAAGAUGAGUCAUCUAAGAUGGCGCCACGUGCAGUCGCUUCGGUUUGUUGUUGCGCUUUGUUUUUUCUUGUUUUGUUUGUUAACUCAGUUUUUUGGCUGUGAUACCCAGAGCUCUUUCACUAGAGAAGAGCUCAAAUACAUUUUAGCAGAAAUACAUAAGAUGAAAAGCGCCAUGGACAACAGAUUCGACAAGCUUAAUGGGUCCCUUUCCAGCCUUAAAUCAGCUUUAACAGCUGUUAGUGAAUGUGUGUCCACAACAGAGGACGCCGUUGAAUCGCAUGAAAAACGUCUGGACGAACUGGAGAGGCAACACAAGAGCCUAGCUUCCCAGUGCACACUACAGCAAGCUAAAUUAGAUGACCUGGAGUCCCGCUCUCGCAGGCAAAACAUCCGUAUUAUAGUCUCUAAAAGUAGAAUCGGAGCCAGAGCCUUCAGUUACCAAGCUCCUCUCCUGUGGAACCAGCUUCCAGUUGUGGUUCGGGAGGCAGACACCCUCACCACAUUCAAGAGUAGGCUUAAGACAUUCGUCUUUGAUAAAGCUUAUAGUUAGGGCUGGAUCAGGUGAGUCCUGAACCAUCCCUUAGUUAUGCUGCUAUGGGCCUAGACUAUCGAGGGACUUCCCAUGGUGCACUGAGCUCCUCUCUUCCUCUCUCUUUCUGCACUCAUUCAUGUUCCAUUAAUGCAUGUUACUAACUUCACUUCUUCCCCGGAGUUCUUGUGCUUUCUCGUCUCGCAAGUUCUCAUGGAUCCUGGUGGAGCCUCCUGCCAUGGUCCUGCUUGACUACCAUCGCUAAUAUCACUGAUAUUAUUCUUAUUAUUAUUAUUAUUAUUACUACAGCUACUAUUAUUACUAUUGUCACUGCUCAUUGUCCCCCAUCGCUGUUGUUGGCGUCGUCAUCAUCUACUAUUAGUGUAGUUGUUGCUACUGUGCCUCUCUCUCUCCCUCUCUCUCUCUCUCCCUCUCUCUCUCCCUCUCCCCAACUGGUCGAUGACCACUCACCUAGAGCCUGUUCCUUUCUGCCUCUUAACAGGCAGUUUUUCCUUGCCCUCGUCGCCAAGGUCUUGCUCAUGGUGGUACUGUUGGAUCUCUGUAAAUAACGUUAUAAGGAGUUUGGUCUAGACCUGCUCUAUUUGAAAAGUGUCCUGAGAUAACUUCUGUUAUGAAUUGGCGCUAUACAAAUAAAACUGAAUUGAAUUAUAAAUAAGUUCUUCUAACAUUUACGUGGUUUGAAGACAUUGUUGAUCUCAUGAUUAUGUCUUAAAGUUUUGUUUUUUGAGCCCCUGAAAAUGUUUUAUUUAAUUAUAAUAAAGUGCACUUCAAGUACAUCAAAGUUAUUCAAAUCAAUUAAAUUCAUAUGCUUGUUUUUGUUAUUAUUAUUAUCUUUCACAAUAAAGUAUAAAUUAACAAAUCCUCUCUGUAAUCCUUAUAACCUUGUCACUCUCUAGAGGGAGUUUCUCUCUUCAGUGUUUGUUACUUUGGUGCAGCCUUUACCUGAAUUAAUAAACUGUCUGUAGUCUGCUGAUUGUUCUGCGCCGAUAUCUUUGAGAUCGAAUCGGGACAUCCUUAACCAUGAUAUUAAUUUAACUAAUAACUCUGAUUUGCAGUGGAUAUAUUCCUAAUGUGCUGAAUUGUUUUGUUUAUUGUUGGUGGAAUCUGUUCUUACCAACAAACCUGGUGGGGAACGUGUAAUAAAUGAAUACAACCGAACCAAAUCCUUGAUGGAUGAAACCAGACGAAAAAUGGUGAACAUACUAGCAGCUGACAUGACAGAAAAGAAUGGGUAAUUUGUUAACAGUCCUUGUGUUCUGAAUCUAGCUUAGAGAUGAAUUUGUAAUCGAAAUUAAAUCCAGUGAAUAUAACUGUAAACUCCUUUCUCCUUGCAGUACAUCCCCACCAGACAAGUAAAAGAAAUGUACGCCAGAGGAAUAGUGACCUUAUUCCCCUACCUCAGUGACCCAUUCUCUAAGACUGGCUAUUUACAGCACUACUAUCAUAGUGAGAGUGGAACUGGGUACAUGGCCUGGAGGAUUCAAAGUAUUCAGAGAGGCACCGCUAAAGACAAGCGAUCGUCGUUUAGAGAAUCAACCAAAGGAUCAUCUGGUGAAGACAUGUCUGGAGGACCAACUGUCAGACAAGAGUCCGAGUUCGUUCCCGAGACUGCCCUGACUGAAGAUGAGUCCAACGAAGCAAUCUCACGGAUGAAACAUUCAGCUGAUGAGGACACCGUCAAGAAGAAAAUGGAACUGACGUUUGUGUAUCGCCACAACAUGGUCCUUGACCCCCGGCAGUCGAGCAACAUACCGUCAGACUUUCCACGUUUUAAAGACAUCAAAGGCUUGGUAAUUAUCUAUCAUUAUUUUGAAAAUAUUAUGACAGUUUUUAUAAAACGGUAGACAGGCGUUGUAGUAAUACUCCAUUAACUAUCACCCGUUAACUUGCCAGUCAGAUAAUUGAAAUUGUCACCCAACACCACCCCACCCCAAGUUGAACAGGAUUUCAUUCUGAUGUUUGGGGAGGAUACCUCAAGCACGCUUCUGGAGAGGUGGUCGGUCAUGUUAAAAAAAAAGAUCAUCCAACAAUGCAGAAAGCUUCUAUCCACAAGUGAGCUUGAAGAACUCUUGCUGGCAGCUGAUCCUCCUGAGGAUGGCACUGAAGUUGAUGUUGACUUUGGUAAGCUGAUUGUUUAAAUGCUGCAGCCAUUGCAGAGCCAAUGAAUUUUCUUGACAGCCCGCAUAACUGAAGUGUGUUAAGAUUGAACACACGAUAGUUGUUACAGGUUGGGACAGUGACCUUUCGUCGGUUUUAUUGCUGCUACACCCGAUUCCACCCUCUGCUCAGGAUCGGAAGAGACCAGCAAAGGUUUCGGCAUCCCAAGCAGAGAAGCAUCUUGUGGUCUUCAAGAAGGUUUGUAUUAUUGGAGGUUAUCGAGGGACAAAUCUUAUAUAAUCGCCUAAUAGUUGUAGAAUACGGUCAUGCACAAUAAGGCAUUAAUAAAGUGCUUUAUAAUGAUUACUGACAGCCAAUAUGCUGCUAACAUGUAUUCUAAUAAGCAACUAGUUGGUUGUCAAUAUGUUUAACUUGUUGUCUAAAGUGUUAUUUAGUUUUUCUGUUUUGGUUUUGGUUUUAUGUAUUACAACUGUCCAAUUGUAAUAUCUUCAUGUGUUUGUCUUCCCAAACUGGAACAAACAUUCAAGAGCAUCUCGAUGCUAACACCUCCUGAGCUCAACCCUAUCUCCUGGCUGUUGGAGUUAAGAAGAAUGUAAUCCACCAGUUCAAGAAUGCCAUACCUUGCAGGUCAACCUCUUCUCUUGGUGCCUUUGAUGAACUGUUUAAGGCUCAUUUUGUGUUUGGCAAAUCCUACAACAGCAUGCUUCACAACAUGUACACGUUCAUCCAAACCACAGUGUACAACAUUGAUGUUGGCAAGGUCGAGGAAAGUCCUUGUGUCUCUGAAGUUAGAACGAGGUUGCUUCAUUAGUGCUUGAAGUUUCUCCUCUAUCAUGCAGUGUUUUGUUUGUCAGGCUCAGUUAACUAGUUCAAAUGCGCUUGUUAGCCAUUUACGAUUAGGUAACUUACCUGGAAAAAAUCUCAGGCUUAAAUGUGCCCAGACUGGAUGUGGAUGUGUGUUUGGUACAUUUUCUGGUUUUAGGAAACAUUUAAACACCAAACACACCGAGUAUAUUGACCAGGAGGUUGACACUGAUGUUCAUUUGAGCAGUAGAAGAAUAGAAGUAUGGAACGACACUUUCCUCUUUGUAUGUUGUUCCAUAUUGUCAUUUUAUGCGGGCUUAAGGUCAGUGUUUUGAAUGUAGGUUUGUAUUCUACAUGAGAUGUUUUGAUGAGGUGAUAUUUUGACAUAGUUGAGAGCUGCUAAUAAAGUUCUUAAAUGCAUUAGUUUGAUGAAACUUUCAUUUUUACUCACUUAAUGGUGCAUUUGCGUGUAGGUUGAAACUAAAAAAGAGUAAAUUAAGUGUAAA